GACGAACGCUGGCGGCGUGCUUAACACAUGCAAGUCGAACGGAAAGGCCCUGCUUUUGUGGGGUGCUCGAGUGGCGAACGGGUGAGUAACACGUGAGUAACCUGCCCUUGACUUUGGGAUAACUUCAGGAAACUGGGGCUAAUACCGGAUAGGAGCUCCUGCUGCAUGGUGGGGGUUGGAAAGUUUCGGCGGUUGGGGAUGGACUCGCGGCUUAUCAGCUUGUUGGUGGGGUAGUGGCAUACCAAGGCUUUGACGGGUAGCCGGCCUGAGAGGGUGACCGGCCACAUUGGGACUGAGAUACGGCCCAGACUCCUACGGGAGGCAGCAGUGGGGAAUAUUGCACUAUGGGCGGAAGCCUGAUGCAGCAACGCCGCGUGCGGGAUGACGGCCUUCGGGUUGUAAACCGCUUUCGCCUGUGACGAAGCGUGAGUGACGGUAAUGGGUAAAGAAGCACCGGCUAACUACGUG
rnacentral:rRNA from 1 species